AGAUCAAGCUAAAAAGGGCUGACGGUGGAUACCUAGGCACACAGAGGCGAAGAAGGACGUGGCUACCGACGAAACGCUUCGGGGAGCUGGAAGCAAGCUGAGAUCCGGAGAUGUCCGAAUGGGGCAACCCUUUGUACUACCUGCUGAAUAUAUAGGCAGGAAAGAGCGAACCGGGCGAACUGAAACAUCUUAGUAGCCCGAGGAAAAGAAAGCAAAAGCGAUUCCCCUAGUAGCGGCGAGCGAAGCGGGAACAGCCUAAACCACUAGCUAUAAGCUAGUGGGGUAGUGGGACAGCACCACGGGAGAUGGCGGACUAGACGAAGCAGUUGAAAACUGCACCCGAGAAGGUGAAAGUCCUGUAGUCAAAAGAACAAAAUCCCCAGCUGAAUCCCGAGUAGCACGGGGCACGUGGAAUCCCGUGUGAAUCAGCCAGGACCACCUGGUAAGGCUAAAAACUACUGUGUGACCGAUAGCGAACGAGUACCGCGAGGGAAAGGUGAAAAGAACCCCGGGAGGGGAGUGAAAAAGAACAUGAAACCGUCAGCUUACAAGCAAUGGGAGGACGAUUAAACGUCUAACCGUGUGCCUGUUGAAGAAUGAGCCGGCGACUUAUAGGCGAUGGCAGGUUAAGACGGUGAAAGUCGAAGCCAAAGCGAAAGCGAGUCUGAAAAGGGCGUAUAGUCAUCGUUUAUAGACCCGAACCCGGGUGAUCUAACCAUGUCCAGGAUGAAGCAAGGGUAACACCUUGUGGAGGUCCGCACCGACCGAUGUUGAAAAAUCGGCGGAUGAGGUGUGGUUAGGGGUGAAAUGCCAAUCGAACCCGGAACUAGCUGGUUCUCCCCGAAAUGCGUUGAGGCGCAGCGGUUGAGGUCAAAUCUGGGGGUAAAGCACUGUUUCGGUGCGGGCUGCGAGAGCGGUACCAAAUCGAGACAAACUCAGAAUACCAGAUGUAUUGCUCAGCCAGUGAGACGGUGGGGGAUAAGCUUCAUCGUCAAGAGGGAAACAGCCCAGACCACCAGCUAAGGUCCCAAAAUGACUGCUAAGUGAGAAAGGAGGUGGGGGUGCUUAGACAACCAGGAGGUUUGCCUAGAAGCAGCAAUCCUUGAAAGAGUGCGUAAUAGCUCACUGGUCAAGGGCUCCCGCGCCGAAAAUGAAUGGGGCUAAGCAGUAUACCGAAGCUGUGGGAUUGUGAAAACAAUCGGUAGGGGAGCGUUCCGUAUAGGGAGAAGCAGUAGCGGCAAGCAGCUGUGGACAGUACGGAAGUGAGAAUGUCGGCUUGAGUAGCGCAAACUAGGGUGAGAAUCCCUAGCCCCGAAACCCUAAGGGUUCCUCCGGCAGGCUCGUCCGCGGAGGGUUAGUCAGGACCUAAGGCGAGGCCGAAGGGCGUAGUCGAUGGACAACGGGUCAACAAUCCCGUACCGGUGCUAGUAGGUGCAGAGGGACGGAGAAGGUCAAGACCAGCCGGACGAUGGUUACCGGUUCAAGCAAGCAAGGCGUAGAGGGAUGGGGAAAACAUCCGGAGUCGAGCUGCGAGUACGAGCUGCUACGGCGGCGAAGUGGGACGAGAUCGAGCUUCCAAGAAAAGCUCUAAACACUAUUGCUAGGACUGCCUGUACCCGAAACCGACACAGGUAGGGAGGUAGAGAAUACCAAGGGGCGCGAGAUAACUCUCUCUAAGGAACUCGGCAAAAUGGCCCCGUAACUUCGGGAGAAGGGGUGCCCUCAGAAAUGGGGGUCGCAGUGAAGAGGCCCAGGCGACUGUUUACCAAAAACACAGGUCUCCGCGAAGUCGCAAGACGAGGUAUGGGGGCUGACGCCUGCCCAGUGCCGGAAGGUUAAGGAAGUUGGUCAGCCUUACGGUGAAGCUGACGACUGAAGCCCCGGUGAACGGCGGCCGUAACUAUAACGGUCCUAAGGUAGCGAAAUUCCUUGUCGGGUAAGUUCCGACCCGCACGAAAGGCGUAACGAUCUGGGCGCUGUCUCGGAGAGAGGCUCGGCGAAAUAGGAAUGUCUGUGAAGAUACGGACUACCUGCACCUGGACAGAAAGACCCUAUGAAGCUUUACUGUAGCCUGGAAUUGGGUUCGGGCUUGGCUUGCGCAGGAUAGGUGGGAGGCGUAGAAGUUCACCUUGUGGGGGAACAGAGCCAUCGGUGAGAUACCACUCUAGCGAGGCUAGAAUUCUAACCAACAGCCGUAAACCGGCUGGGGAACAGUUUCAGGUGGGCAGUUUGACUGGGGCGGUCGCCUCCAAAAAGGUAACGGAGGCGCGCAAAGGUUCCCUCAGGCUGGACGGAAAUCAGCCGGCGAGUGUAAAGGCAAAAGGGAGCUUGACUGCGAGACAAACAAGUCGAGCAGGGUGGAAACACGGCCUUAGUGAUCCGACGGCACAGAGUGGAAUGGCCGUCGCUCAACGGAUAAAAGUUACUCUAGGGAUAACAGGCUGAUCUCCCCCAAGAGUUCACAUCGACGGGGAGGUUUGGCACCUCGAUGUCGGCUCAUCGCAACCUGGGGCGGAAGUACGUCCCAAGGGUUGGGCUGUUCGCCCAUUAAAGCGGUACGUGAGCUGGGUUCAGAACGUCGUGAGACAGUUCGGUCCAUAUCCGGUGCAGGCGUAAGAGCAUUGAGAGGAGUCUCCUCUAGUACGAGAGGACCGAGGAGAACGCACCGCUGGUGUACCUGUUAUCGUGCCAACGGUAAACGCAGGGUAGCCAAGUGCGGAGCGGAUAACCGCUGAAAGCAUCUAAGUGGGAAGCCCACCUCAAGAUGAGUGCUCUCACCAUGUUAAGUGGGUAAGGUCACGGAAAGAACAUCCGUAGAUAGGCGUCAGGUGGAAGCGCAGUAAUGUGUGAAGCCGAGACGUACUAAUAGACCGAGGGCUUGAUCUAAAA
rnacentral:rRNA from 1 species